GUAGUAUUCCCUCCGUCCCAAAAUUCUUGUCUUACAUUUGUGUAGAUACGGAUGUACCUAACACUAAAAUGUAACUAGAUACAUCCGUAUUUAGACAAAUUUAAGACAAGAAUUUUGGGACGGAGGGAGUACAAA
rfam:Triticum aestivum genome assembly, contig: Triticum_aestivum_CS42_TGACv1_scaffold_404150_5BL